ensembl:snRNA U6 U6 spliceosomal RNA
GGGCUGGCUUAGGCAGCACGCAUACUUAAAUUGGAACCACAGAAAACUUAGCACGUCCCUGUACAAGGAGGGCAUGCAAAUUCAUGAGGCGUUCCAUAUUUUU